AGCGGGAUGAGCUCAAAUUUGAAAGCUGGCAGCAAUGCCCGCAUUGUAAUCUCGAGAAAUGUUUUCCGCGCGGGACUACGUACAAGUUGCUUGGAAUAGCAUGUCAUAGAGGGUGAGAACCCCGUCCUUGAUGUAGCCGCCCCGUCGCUUUGUGAUACAUUUUCGAAGAGUCGAGUUGUUUGGGAAUGCAGCUCAAAAUGGGUGGUAAAUUCCAUCUAAAGCUAAAUAUUGGGGAGAGACCGAUAGCGAACAAGUACCGUGAGGGAAAGAUGAAAAGCACUUUGGAAAGAGAGUUAAACAGUACGUGAAAUUGUCAAAAGGGAAGCAUUUAAAGUCAGACGUGUAUUGCAGUAUUCAGCCUUGCUUUUGCUUGGUGUUUUUGCUGUCGUACAGGCCAACAUCAGUUUUGACUGACGGAUAAGGGUAUGGAGAAUGUGGCACCCUCGGGUGUGUUAUAGCUCUAUACUGGAUACGUCGAUUGGGACUGAGGAACGCAGCGCGCCGUAAGGCAGACCUUCGGGUACUUUCGCGCUUAGGAUGUUGGCGUAAUGUCUUUAAGUGACCCGUCUUGAAACACGGACCAAGGAGUCUAACAUGUCUGCGAGUCUUUGGGUGGCAAACCCUGGGCGCAAUGAAAGUGGAAUGCAGGU
rnacentral:rRNA from 1 species